CAGAGAUAAAACUGCUGUUUUUAUCGAUGCUGGGACAUGGACUGUUUCCGACACUGUCAUCAUUACCUUGCACACACUGCAAUGUGGUAACUGAGAAUCUGGCAAGUCUGCUACAGGAAGAAAACAAGAGCCGAAACGCUUUGGGAUCCUUGCACGAAAGCUAAGACAAAUACUGCCUCUAUAUCCUGUGCAGUGUUGUCUGAGUUUGUAGGAUAAACUUCUUGACCUGAAUGGAUGUUUAAAUACGACCAAUGGGAGGAUCGUGGCUCAAUAUACUUUCGUGAAUUAAAAUGGACACUCUGGAAACAGACUUAAUGUUCUGCAGCUGGCUGUCCCAAUUUAAAACAUGUAACCUUUGUGACACUGUGGGAGAGGGCACGCUAUAGUAUCAGAUGUCCGGAAGUAAAUCCGAACUUAGUGACUUUUGGAAACACUGUUUUUGAGGUUGUUUCCCACCUACAUAUGACCAUUUUUAUAAACUGGUUAACCAGGAGUCCAGCUGCAGGAACGUUCGGAUGUUUCCGUGUGGCUGGAAUUCAUCACAAACUUUCUUUGUCACUCCCCAAAGACUCUUUUAUAGAUGGACUAGUUAGUGAAGCUAACAAUGGCUAAAAAUUCCUGAUGGGACUAAAACUUUAUAAAGCUACAGUGGGAAAAAUAAAACAAAACAAAACAUGUUGGUCAAUCUCUCCUAAGGCCGUAUUAGGUGUGACUGAGGGUUGGUCAGCGGAGAAAUUAAUGCAGCUUGCAUCUGAUGGAGCCAGAAUUCUUUUAAUCAAAACGAUAGUGUGUCUGGUAAAAAUAUAAAAGAAUUGUAAGUGGGAAACCAUUUGAAAUCAUCUUGUCUUAUAUGGAAUUGAUUUGUGUGUGUGUGUGUGUGUUUAUAUAGAGUAUUGCAUUUAAAAUGAGGUGUCCUAUAACGUGAUGAGUCUAACUGGGGACUGAGUCACUCUAAAAAGUACAGUAUGAGAUCUUUUACCCUGCACUUUACGAUACAGUAUUUAUACACAUCUAUUAUUUUGGUAGACAACUUUUAAUAAUCGAUGAUCGCACUUCCUUCCUUUCACAAGCUGUGCUUGCCAGUUAGCCAUCUUGCUUUUUAAAAAAGUGCCACUCAGAACAAGCAGGCACCAUGUUGCUGGCAUGGGUCCUUCACCACGUUGGCCACUGGCUCUCCCAGAAGGACUUGCCUGCACCCGUUUGUUUAGAGGCUGCUUUGCUCCUCCAGACUAUCUGAAGUUGAAUUUUUAGUCUCUGUAUUAUUUCUACAACUUAUCCCUCUAACUGGUUUUUAUGUAGGUAAGGGACGAAAGCAGGAGAGAAAGCAAACAGCCAUGGAAAGAGAUUUUUAAAUUAAAAAUGUAAAAUAAAGUUCAGUACAUCAUAAAAUGAAUGAAUGAUUACGCCACAUUUUGGUCGUAGAAGCCAGUACUUGUAUUAUCCUAAGAGCAUCCUUGAGACAAUGUCAAAAUGAGGCUGGCUUCUUCCCGUCAUCUAGCUUCUCUUUCUAUUGCCUAUUAAUGCCUAC